UACGUAGGGUGCAAGCGUUAUUCGGAAUUAUUGGGCGUAAAGGGCACGUAGGCGGUUUGGUAAGUCCCGUGUGAAAUCCCCGGGCUCAACCUGGGAACUGCAUCCGAGACUGCAUUGCUAGAGUAUGGGAGAGGGAAGCGGAAUUUCUGGUGUAGCAGUGAAAUGCGUAGAUAUCAGAAGGAACAUCAGUGGCGAAGGCGGCUUCCUGGACCAAUACUGACGCUGAGGAGCGAAAGCGUGGGGAGCGAACAGG
rnacentral:rRNA from 1 species